CACUAGUUUAAAGAGAAUUGAACCUCCUGUGUUCAAAAAGAAUGCCAAGACACCCCAAGAAAAAUAGGAGGGAGGACAAAGAAGAGGUAAAGAAGAGAUGAAAGUUAUCUAGGGUUGGGAGGAUCAUUGACCUGUGGAGUUUGCAAAGAAGCUGGCCAUAAUGUUAGGAGUUUUCCUAAAAGGAUAGCAGAAAUCCAGAUUAAAGUAAGAAAAAACAAGAAGAAGCAAAAACUGACAGUAGUGAAGUUAAUGAGGCAGCAAAAACAUCAAAAUGUAAACUGGCAAAGGAGAAAGGAUCUAGUUCAACUGAAUUGUAUGAUGUGAGCAGUGUUGAUUUACUUAAGGAAUUUUAUAAAUCAAAGCAGGCAAAGGAGAAGAGAUCAAGUCCAACUGGUUUGUAUGAUGAGCAGGGCAAAGGAAAGGACAACACACCUUAUGAGUUUGGAUUCAUCAGGGAGAGACCAUCAGCUACUGAAUUUUGCUUAAGCCCUAGUUAUUUCACUACUGCAAGCUUAUAUAGCCUGAACCUCAAAGGAAUGCAGGAGUUGUGAAUUCUGAUAAACAAUAUUAUUCACAACCAAAAUGAAGGAAUACAAAAAUGAAUAGCAAAGGAGCAGAUUGUUAUAUUAAUAUGAGAACUAGAGUUGCAGAGCUACAACACAAUUACAUGGUUAUGUUCUGUCAUUUAUUGAUAAAUUUAAUGCCAUUGUUGUAAUCUACAACACAAUUACCAAAGCAUUUGUAUGGUGGGGUGGAGAAACCUACAGCUGACAAGACUGUGAAUCCUAUAACAGUUGCAAGACCAAAGAAACCUCUUACACCAAAAGACUUGAUUCUUCAAAGGGACCACAUUAAUGGCACAUUUAAAUCAAGAGGUCUUUAACGGAAUGGCAGUCCUGCUGUGAGCUCGAAUGACUUGCAUAAUAAGAUGAAAGAGGAUAUCGAAUUCUACAAGACCUAUUUGGAAACCAUGAACAUCAGAACAUUUUGAUUUUGGGUGGUUA